GAACAUUUAUUUGUCUUGAAAGCAACGGAGUAACAUUGCAUGAUUUCAAACAUAAAAUGACAUGCUGAUUUUUUUUUUAAAAAGAGAGCACUUUGUUGUUUAUGUAGAAAAGGCUUGGAGAGUGUGAUUACUGGAAGCUGGUUUUAGGUGCUACCAUCAUCUAGGCAAGAGAAACUGAAGACACACAUUAAGACUACAGCAAAGGCACUGGAAAAGCAACUCAGAUUGUGAAGAUCCCGGUGUUACACAUCCAAUCGUUCACCUCCUUCCAAGACUAUGACAUUCCAGGAAACCUUCACUGCUAAGAGGAACUAAGAUCUAGAGUAUCUCCUCGAGGAAGUACAACUGCAUUAUAAAUUAAGGAGGAAUAGUAACAAAGAGCUUGAAGACAUGCACAGCUCACAGGCCCCGGGUGGAGGCUGGCGACAUCAGACAGACAGAACCAAGACAUCUGAGGGGCAACCAGGAGGUGCGUGUGGCUGCAGAGCACACAGACUUGUCUUUGGACAAAAUUGAGAAGAACUCAUAAACUUGGCUUCCUCGCUUCUGCUCCUCAGACGCGCGUGGAUGAUUUGAAGAUAUUAGCCUAACAAGAUGGAAGCAGGUUUAAAAUUUUACAUAAGAAGUUACCUUUUUCAGUUGUGUUGAUGUUCCUUUCAGCUGGUCCUAUAGUACCCCUCCUCAGGAAUGUCUCCCCAGUGCAAGGACAAAGACUGAAGAGACUGCUAUAUUGAUGGACUCUCAAGCCAACUAUGAAGUUGAAACAAAGAAAGUGAUCACCUGAAGACACCUCCUCUGCUAAGAAACACCCCCAAAUUGUGCAGCUUCUGCCACUAGAACUCUCAGAACAAGAGACAAUCUUUUCAAGAAACAGAAAAACUCAAUAAUGACAUCUAGAUUUUCAUGAGCCAAGAACUUUCCCUUCCUCAUGUGUAUUCCUCUGUUUGUACUUAAAUUCAUGUGACAUUCAUUUUUUUCCUAGUAUGGAUAUGCUUAUUAAUGCACUUGUUUCAAAAUCCCAAAUUGCACAAAUGUGUUAAUAUUUUAAGAAACAAAAUGAAUCCUACAAGGAGAAUGAUUUUUAGCCACACAUAGGGUUGGAUCUUGAGAGUGACCUACAGAAUAAAAGUACUUUUAAAAUAAAGUAGUCAGAGGCUAUUCAAAGGGUAAAAUAAUCAUAGUACCACAUUGGUCCACUUGACACUAACCAAUCGAUCAUUUUUUUUUAAUCAAGAAAGCUAGAUUCUAUCAGAUAAAAUCACUGCUUCUAAAGAGUUUAAAUCUAGUUAGAAAAAGUUAUAGAAAUGUUUGCAAAGAUAAGUAACAGAUAGAGUCAGUAGAGGAUAAGAUCAAAAACAAAACCAAGCAAAAGAUGAGUUCAGGGGAGUUUGCCAUCAAGUUGGCAAAACUGACUUACUUAGGGAAGAAAGUUAUAAAACAGGAAAAUAUGAGAUGAACCUUGAGUGAUGUGGAAGAUUUAGAUAAAUGGAAAGGAAGGAGAAAAUGGAGUUCUUUAGGUGGUUGUAAUUGGAGGAGGAAAUGAAUACACACAUCUUGUUGACUUAAACCCAGACAUUCAGCAGCUCUCUAUACAUAUCUGGAAAAGACUGCACAGUCACCUCCUGUCUCUCACCCCAGGUAUUACUUAGAAUUAUUAUCAUAUUUCCCUUCCUUUAAAGUAAGUAAGGGUGAUUGGUGACAAUAUGGAGAACUAUGAUUUUUCCAUUAACCUAAUAAUAAUUGGUAUUUAUUGAGUUCUGUUAAGCAUUUUACAUAUUAACUCACUUAAGCCUUUCAACAGCCUUGCAAAAUAGGUAUUAUUAUCCCCAUUUUACAGGCAAGAAAACUGAGGUUUAAGUAACUUGCCGAAGUGCCAUAUACAGGGCUCACAUUCAGUAUUGCAGUUGCAAAGCUCAUGAUCUAUAGUGCCAAGUUGCAAUAUUGUAGUCAAUGUCACAAUUAUUACCCCUUUUUAUAUUCCUUGAUAUUUUUCCAUGGCAAACAAUUAGCUAUUUCAUUUAAUAAUCACCUAAAACUUUUCAGUCUUCUGAUUAAAAUUACGCUGGAGUGAUAGAAUGUAUUUUCAUGAUAGAAAUUGGGAAAAAAAAUGGGGAAUGAAGUUUAUCAGCAUUUCAGACUUGUUUUUUUUUUUUUUUUUUGCAAGACUUUGAUGAGAUUGUUCACUUUUGUCUAUGUAAAAUCCCAAAUCCUUGAGAAUAAAAAAGGGGGAGGUUUAAGUCACUUGUUGCAAUGCCCUUUUUAAUAGAGGCAAUAAAUCUAAAGGCCAUAAAUUUAGAGUGACUUACAGAAGAUCGAACUUUGGAGUGUGGCAGAGUAAGGGAUGGAAACCGGGCCCUCCAGUUCACUAUCAGUAGCUUUUGCACUGGUCUGCCCUUCCUAAAUUAAGUAUGCACUUCAAUUUGAUGAGUGGAAACAGUCUAUCUGGGCAGUAACCAGGGAGCUUUGUGCCUAGUAGAUUGCUUCUGUUCUGCACUUCUUUGGUUUCCCACCUCAAUGUAAAAAAUAGCUAGCAAUGAAGUCCAGAAGUUGUCAAUGGUUCAUCCCCAGAAGAAUGCAUAAUGUCCAAAGUUGUAUGUGUAUGAUGUCUUCAAUGGUAUUAAGUUAUUUCAAAUUCUUAGUUCACCUACAUAAAUCAUUUCUAACAAGCAUCUUCUUAACCAACUUUAUGCACAGUGUAUGUUUGUAAGUGCUUCUGCACGAAUGUUUAUACAUGACUGUUUCCAUAGUACUUAUGUUUUUAAAAAUAUUCAGUCAUUUCCUACUAUAAUCCUCAUGUAUCCAUGUAACUGACUCAAAAAUACUUCAGCCACAGAAAGCUAAAACUGAGCAAAUCUCAUUCUUCUUUUCCAUCCCCUUUGCAUGUGGCUGGCAUUUAGUAAUGAUUAAUAAUAUGGCCAGCUGAAUAACAGAGGUUUGAGACACAAUUCUUUCUCAAAGGAGUCAGCUAAGCUGGGUCUACUUAUGGACAAACAUCUAAAUGUGUGGAAGUAUCUGAUAUUUGACAAUGGUAAAUUUCCACUUAGCUAGCUAGCAUUGUCAGACUUCAAUCUCCUCAUGGCUCUGGCCGUCCUGUUUUAAGCAUGAUAAUUGUUGGCCACAUCUCACAUAGUUCUCAUUGAGUGAGUUCAUAAAUAAACAGGGUUUUUUUUUUUUUUUAAAGAGCAGCCAAGCACAAAGUGUGACUUUGUUGACAUUUUAUGUGACUUUGUCAUAUGUUCCUAACCCCCAAUAAAAGCAAUGUUGCAUCAACUGUGAAUUUGUGUUGAUUUCUUGAAAAAGCAUGCUCUUAUAAUUUAUUUGUUUUCACUAGUGUAUAUCAAAGUUAGUUUCAAGAUCCACGAGGAACAAGUCAGCUAAUGUGAUAGGAAAAUUUAAAUGUGGAGACAACUUCUAAAGGAUCCCAUGUUACCUUUAAAUAAAAGGUACUGUCAUCUACCAAGUCAGAAACCAAGGUCUGGUCCUUGUCUCUUCCAUCUCCGCCAGCCAUGGUCAAUCACUCAGGUAAUCUUUUGAUUUUUUUUCUCUUUCCAUUGUUCAAAUAUGUCUACUUCUCUCCAUCUAUGCUACUGCAUUAAAGAACAACACUCAUUUCUCACCUGGACUACAGCACCAUGCCUCCAGUUUUCCUCUCCACACUGCCAAGGGGCAGCCGGGGAAAUCUCUCUAAACCACGAAUAUGAUUGUAUUAUUCCAUGGCUUCAAACUCUUCACUGGCUUCCCAUUGCCCUUGAGAUAUCGUGACACCUAAAGCCCUUCAUGCCCUGAUCCUGGCUCCAACAGUCCUCUCUGGACUCAUCAACUCUUCAGCCCCUCUGUGAUUCUAGGCUCGUGCCA
rnacentral:lncRNA from 10 species